UACGUAGGGUGCGAGCGUUGUCCGGAAUUACUGGGCGUAAAGAGCUCGUAGGUGGUUUGUCGCGUUGUUCGUGAAAACUCACAGCUCAACUGUGGCGUGCGGCGAUACGGGCAGACUGGAGUACUGCGAGGGAGACUGGAAUUCCUGGUGAUAGCGGGUGGAAAUACGGCAGAUAUCAGGAGGAACACCGGUGGCGAAGGCGGGUCUCUGGGCCGAUACUGACGCUGGAGGAGCGGAAAGCCGUGGGGAGCGAACAGGA
rnacentral:rRNA from 1 species